UACGAAGGGGGCUAGCGUUGCUCGGAAUCACUGGGCGUAAAGCGCACGUAGGCGGAUUGUUAAGUCAGGGGUGAAAUCCUGGAGCUCAACUCCAGAACUGCCUUUGAUACUGGCGAUCUCGAGUCCGGGAGAGGUGAGUGGAACUGCGAGUGUAGAGGUGAAAUUCGUAGAUAUUCGCAAGAACACCAAUUGCGAAGGCAGCUCGCUACACAUAUAUUGACUCUGAGGCACGAAAGCGUGGGGAUCAAACAGG
rnacentral:rRNA from 1 species